rnacentral:rRNA from 1 species
AGUGAACGCUGGCGGUAGGCCUAACACAUGCAAGUCGAACGGCAGCACAGUAAGAGCUUGCUCUUACGGGUGGCGAGUGGCGGACGGGUGAGGAAUACAUCGGAAUCUACUUUUUCGUGGGGGAUAACGUAGGGAAACUUACGCUAAUACCGCAUACGACCUACGGGUGAAAGCAGGGGAUAUUCGGACCUUGCCCGAUUGAAUGAGCCGAUGUCGGAUUAGCUAGUUGGCGGGGUAAAGGCCCACCAAGGCGACGAUCCGUAGCUGGUCUGAGAGGAUGAUCAGCCACACUGGAACUGAGACACGGUCCAGACUCCUACGGGAGGCAGCAGUGGGGAAUAUUGGACAAUGGGCGCAAGCCUGAUCCAGCCAUACCGCGUGGGUGAAGAAGGCCUUCGGGUUGUAAAGCCCUUUUGUUGGGAAAGAAAAGCAGCAGGUUAAUACCCCGCUGUUCUGACGGUACCCAAAGAAUAAGCACCGGCUAACUUCGUG